UCGGCUUAGAGUUUGAUCAUGGCUCAGAUUGAACGCUGGCGGCAGGCUUAACACAUGCAAGUCGAGCGGUAGGGGAGCUUGCUCCCCACGAGCGGCGGACGGGUGAGUAAUGUCUGGGAAACUGCCUGAUGGAGGGGGAUAACUACUGGAAACGGUAGCUAAUACCGCAUAACGUCGCAAGACCAAAGAGGUUCGUCUUGCCAUCAGAUGUGCCCAGAUGGGAUUAGCUAGUAGGUGGGGUAAUGGCUCACCUAGGCGACGAUCCCUAGCUGGUCUGAGAGGAUGACCAGCCACACUGGAACUGAGACACGGUCCAGACUCCUACGGGAGGCAGCAGUGGGGAAUAUUGCACAAUGGGCGCAAGCCUGAUGCAGCCAUGCCGCGUGUGUGAAGAAAGCCUUCGGGUUGUAAAGCACUUUCAGCGAGGAGGAAGGUGGUGAGUAAUCUCAUCAAUUGACGUUACUCGCAGAAGAAGCACCGGCUAACUCCGUGCCAGCAGCCGCGGUAUACG
rnacentral:rRNA from 1 species